GUGGGGAAUAUUGGACAAUGGGCGAAAGCCUGAUCCAGCCAUGCCGCGUGUGUGAAGAAGGUCUUCGGAUUGUAAAGCACUUUAAGUUGGGAGGAAGGGCAGUAAGUUAAUACCUUGCUGUUUUGACGUUACCAACAGAAUAAGCACCGGCUAACUUCGUGCCAGCAGCCGCGGUAAUACGAAGGGUGCAAGCGUUAAUCGGAAUUACUGGGCGUAAAGCGCGCGUAGGUGGUUUGGUAAGAUGGAUGUGAAAUCCCCGGGCUCAACCUGGGAACUGCAUCCAUAACUGCCUGACUAGAGUACGGUAGAGGGUGGUGGAAUUUCCUGUGUAGCGGUGAAAUGCGUAGAUAUAGGAAGGAACACCAGUGGCGAAGGCGACCACCUGGACUGAUACUGACACUGAGGUGCGAAAGCGUGGGGAGCAAACA
rnacentral:rRNA from 1 species